GGGGCGUUACAUUUAUAUAAAUUAAAAUUUAAUUUAAAUUCAAAUUCAUAAGUUAUUUUCAAAAUACUUGAUUAAAUUUUAAUUUUUAAUUCAAGUUCACAUUAAAAUUUAAAAUUAUAUAUUUAAUUUCUAAAUUUAAAUUCAUAUUUUAAUUAAAAAAGUUGAAAAAUAAAUUUAAUCCGAAUAAAUAUCCAUUACGUCCUGAUUCAACUUCCAAUCCGGCCUAUUGGAAAAGGAAGUGAUUGGGGGAUUCCCAUUCCACUCGGGAAUCGGAAUCGAAAUGGGACUUCCGCGUACCAAACACCCACAAAAGGAAUCGCCCAUUCCGAUUCCGUUUGCAGAGUGCAAAAGCAGCGAACCAAACAUGCCUAUACAGUAUCUAGUAGUUGGUAUGAAAAAAAUUCUUACGCUGAUUAAAUUUUUAUCGGAUAACUUAUUCUAACAUCCAAACAGGAUCUUCAGAAAUAAUGUAUGACUUACAAUUUAUGUCCAAUAGCUUGUUUGCUUCCAACUUAUCAUCCCACUUAUGUUGGAAGGUUCUUAGAGGCUUGCAAAUCCCUGUUAACGGAAUAUUGUAAACUCUCAUCGAGUAUGAAACCAAAAAGAACCUCAAAAGCCAUAAUGUAUUAAAAUGUUCACUAUCUAGAAAUUUAUCAUGAUCGCAGAACUUCAUCAACUCCUCUUGUAAUUUUCCAACUUGAAUUGCAUGAUGACGAUGUGAAUAUAUAUAUAUAUAUAUAUAUAUAUUUUUGAGAGAGAGAGAGAAAGGUAGGAAUGUUUUUCACUUCGCUUGUUUAUUUUAGAAAUGAAUUUAGUUAAAAAUAUGAAGUAAUUAGACUUCAAACUUGAAAUCAUCGAUGCCAAAUGAUCAAGCUUUUUGUCACUUGCACUAGAAAUGAUCCAAAAUUUGAAUAUACAUUUUGAAUGAAAAACA
rnacentral:lncRNA from 1 species